AACGCGAAGAACCUUACCUGGGCUCGAACGGCUUCGGACAAUCCUUGGAAACAGGGACUUCCCGCAAGGGGGUGGAGUCGAGGUGCUGCAUGGCUGUCGUCAGCUCGUGUCGUGAGAUGUUGGGUUAAGUCCCGCAACGAGCGCAACCCUUGUCCUGUGUUGCCAUACCGAAAGGUGGAACUCGCAGGAGACCGCCAGGGAUAACCUGGAGGAAGGUGGGGAUGACGUCAAGUCCUCAUGGCCUUUAUGUCUAGGGCUACACACGUGCUACAAUGGACGGUACAAAGCGUCGCUAACCUGCGAAGGGGAGCCAAUCGCAAAAAACCGUUCUCAGUUCGGAUUGCAGGCUGCAACUCGCCUGCAUGAAGCUGGAAUCGCUAGUAAUGGCAGAUCAGCACGCUGCCGUGAAUACGUUCCCGGGCCUUGUACACACCGCGCAUA
rnacentral:rRNA from 1 species